GUAGUAUUCCCUCCGUCCCAAAAUUCUUGUCUUACAUUUGUUUAGAUAUGGAUGUAUCUAACACUAAAAUGUAACUAGAUACAUUCGUAUUUAGAAAAAUUUAAGACAAGAAUUUUGGGACGGAGGGAGUACAAA
rnacentral:pre_miRNA from 1 species